rnacentral:rRNA from 1 species
CAGUCGCCCGGGAAUACAGAGGGUGCGAGCGUUAAUCGGAUUUACUGGGCGUAAAGCGUGCGUAGGCGGCUUCUUAAGUCGGAUGUGAAAUCCCUGAGCUUAACUUAGGAAUUGCAUUCGAUACUGGGAAGCUAGAGUAUGGGAGAGGAUGGUAGAAUUCCAGGUGUAGCGGUGAAAUGCGUAGAGAUCUGGAGGAAUACCGAUGGCGAAGGCAGCCAUCUGGCCUAAUACUGACGCUGAGGUACGAAAGCAUGGGGAGCAAACAGGAUUAGAUACCCCCGUAGUCCCUGUCUCUUAUACA